CUAGCUUAUUCUAUACUAGCUCUGUACUGAUGUUGCUCCACUGAGUCUUGGUUUUUAUGAAGGCUUGUUUCCAAAUGACCAAAUGUAAAACUUGACGUUGCCUUAUGGAUACAUGAAACAAUGGAACUGCUACAUCAAGAGAGAUGGACCAGCUCUAUCGCUGAACGACUGGGGCAUUUGCUUGACACAGAUCCAGGCUCAAGUCCCUGCCCCAGUGGAUAUUUAAUUAUUUAUACAAAGUGUUGCAGUUCCAAACAGUGAUACCAAGAGACUCGCCUUUGAUGCAGCAGUCCA